CCACACUAAAAGCCAUCCCUUUUCUCCUUCAUUGUAUUGCAAUCAAGUGCAACCUAUACAACAACUCCUUCUGUAAUAGUAUAUCGCAAUUAUCUAAAGUAAUUCACGCUUGAAGCAGUUCUUUGAAACCCACAAACUCUCUAAAGGAGUUCACACUUGAGCGUAGGGAGAAGUUGGUUUUAGGCUUAGCAUAAGAUUGCGAUGUUGUGUGAAGUUGAAGAUUGUUAUGGGCCUAAUCUUGAAGUUGACAUUGAAAUUGAGGUGUUGAGGUUUGUUACGUGAGAAAGUUGGGUUUAUUGCAUAUGAGAAUAAGGCGAU
rnacentral:misc_RNA from 1 species